GAAGAUUUAAUGUACCACAGAGAGCAAGGACAACUUGUCCCUAGCCCUGUUAGAGGGCAAACAGGAGAUGUUAAAGGAGAAGACCAGUUCAGAAGGAGCAGGGUUUGCAUGCAACGAAAUUAUGAUCUGUUGCCACAGCCCUCCAUUAAUCCUCCGUCUGCUCAGAGAAGCAGAGUCUCCUUCCUCCCGUUCCUGCCACAGCACAACUUAGCGCCUUGGAAAAGGACGUGCUUUGAUGUAGUCCUUUGUGGUGGUUCAAAAUGCCUCCCUCUCCUGCUGUGA
rnacentral:lncRNA from 1 species